UGAAAGCAUCUAAGCGUGAAGCCCCCCUCAAGAUGAGAUUUCCCAUAGCAUAAGCUAGUAAGACCCCUUGAAGAACACAAGGUUGAUAGGUCAGAGGUGGAAGUGCGGUAACGUAUGUAGCUGACUGAUACUAAUAGGUCGAGGGCUUGACCAA
rnacentral:ncRNA from 1 species